rnacentral:rRNA from 1 species
UGGGGAAUCUUGCACAAUGGGGGAAACCCUGAUGCAGCAACGCCGCGUGAGUGAUGACGGCCUUCGGGUUGUAAAACUCUGUCUUUGGGGACGAUAAUGACGGUACCCAAGGAGGAAGCCACGGCUAACUACGUGCCAGCAGCCGCGGUAAUACGUAGGUGGCAAGCGUUGUCCGGAUUUACUGGGCGUAAAGGGAGCGUAGGUGGAUAUUUAAGUGGGAUGUGAAAUACUCGGGCUUAACCUGGGUGCUGCAUUCCAAACUGGAUAUCUAGAGUGCAGGAGAGGAAAGGAGAAUUCCUAGUGUAGCGGUGAAAUGCGUAGAGAUUAGGAAGAACACCAGUGGCGAAGGCGAUUCUCUGGACUGUAACUGACGCUGAGGCUCGAAAGCGUGGGGAGCAAACA